AGAUUCACUACCAUCUAUAUUCACACAAGCAGAGUAUUCUCGAGAAGAAAUUGAUGAGGUGCGAUCGGAGUUGGCAGAAUGUAUACAAGAUCAUAUUUAUGAGUAGGAGGUAAGAAUUCCGGGAUAAAUUGCCAGGAGAAGGGGAAAAAAAUUGGGGGAAAAGACGGCAAGUGCGACGUCAGAGUUGGUUCUGUACAUUGUGGGUAUGUAUUGAAUGGUGGAGGAUUGCAACAUUCACUUGCUUCCCUCAUCCACUUCUGUCUCUCUCUCUCUCUCUUCCCCAGCAACACUGCACAGCUGCUUUUCUUGAUCAUUUCAACGGUUCAACCUUUAGCUGUUGUCCAUCUGAAUUGCUGAAUUUUGGAGGUGUUUUGGUCUCU